AGUGAACGCUGGCGGUAGGCCUAACACAUGCAAGUCGAACGGCAGCACAGUAAGAGCUUGCUCUUACGGGUGGCGAGUGGCGGACGGGUGAGGAAUACAUCGGAAUCUACUUUUUCGUGGGGGAUAACGUAGGUAAACUUACGCUAAUACCGCAUACGACCUACGGGUGAAAGCAGGGGAGCUUCGGACCUUGCGCGAUUGAAUGAGCCGAUUUCGGAUUAGCUAGUUGGCGGGGUAAAGGCCCACCAAGGCGACGAUCCGUAGCUGGUCUGAGAGGAUGAUCAGCCACACUGGAACUGAGACACGGUCCAGACUCCUACGGGAGGCCGCAGUGGGGAAUAUUGGACAAUGGGCGCAAGCCUGAUCCAGCCAUCCCGCGUGGGUGAAGAAGGCCUUCGGGUUGUAAAGCCCUUUUGUUGGGAAAGAAAAGCAGCAGGUUAAUACCCCGCUGUUCUGACGGUACCCAAAGAAUAAGCACCGGCUAACUUCGUG
rnacentral:rRNA from 1 species